CACAAGAGCUCCCCAAUCCCGAUGAAGAGACACCACAGCCACUGGGACAGGGGUCCUUGUGAUGCGAGUCCUAACUUGCUUGCUGGAGAAAGGGAAAGAAGAGAUCGAGUGGAGGAUAAGGAGAGACACAUGCGGUCUUUCCAGAGCCCUCUGAUGGGGAGACACAGUUCCUACGACUGCUAAGACCGAGACUAACGUAAGAUCUGGCAGAGUGGAGUCAGCGGUGAGCUUCUUGUGACCAAAGCCAGUGGGUGAUGAGAAGGCAAAGCAAUAGAAAGGAGGCACUGAGGAUGUUUUAGGGUACCUCUGCCUGGGAAGAAGGAAGGGCCCAUCUGUUUACCACCAGGGUAGCCACGCACUUGACCCUACUUCCCACAGCAGCUCGAGCCAGGUUUACAGAAUCAGCCACAUAUGCCCCACCUGCCCCUCCUCUCCUCUGUGAACUGUGCUGCACUUUCUACCACGAAAACGAGCCUCUUCCGAACAGAGGGAAUGGAGCCUACCCUAUGUGAGCACGCACAUUUCAUGCCAGCAGGAGGCACAGACAGGGG
rnacentral:lncRNA from 1 species